GGAAUCUUGCACAAUGGAGGAAACUCUGAUGCAGCGAUGCCGCGUGAGUGAAGAAGGCCUUUGGGUUGUAAAGCUCUUUUGUAGGGGAAGAUAAUGACUGUACCCUAAGAGUAAGGUCCGGCUAACUUCGUGCCAGCAGCCGCGGUAAUACGAAGGGACCUAGCGUAGUUCGGAAUUACUGGGCGUAAAGCGCGCGUAGGCCGUUGAGUUAGUUAAUUGUGAAAUCCCAAAGCUUAACUUUGGAACUGCAAUUAAAACUGCUCGACUAGAGUUUGAUAGAGGAAAGCGGAAUACAUAGUGUAGAGGUGAAAUUCGUAGAUAUUAUGUAGAACACCAGUUGCGAAGGCGGCUUUCUGGAUCAACACUGACGCUGAGGCGCGAAAGUAUGGGUAGCAAAGAGGAUUAGAUACCCUCGUAGUCCAUACCAUAAACGAUGAUUGCUAGAUGUUGGAAAUUUAUUUUCAGUAUCGCAGCUAACGCAUUAAGCAAUCCGCCUGGGGAGUACGACCGCAAGGUUAAAACUCAAAUGAAUUGACGG
rnacentral:rRNA from 1 species